GAUGAACGCUGGCGGCGUGCCUAAUGCAUGCAAGUCGAGCGAACAGAUGAGGAGCUUGCUCCUUUGACGUUAGCGGCGGACGGGUGAGUAACACGUGGAUAACCUACCUAUAAGACUGGGAUAACUUCGGGAAGCCGGAGCUAAUACCGGAUAAUAUAUUGAACCGCAUGGUUCAAUAGUGAAAGACGGUUUUGCUGUCACUUAUAGAUGGAUCCGCGCCGUAUUAGCUAGUUGGUAAGGUAACGGCUUACCAAGGCAACGAUGCGUAGCCGACCUGAGAGGGUGAUCGGCCACACUGGAACUGAGACACGGUCCAGACUCCUACGGGAGGCAGCAGUAGGGAAUCUUCCGCAAUGGGCGAAAGCCUGACGGAGCAACGCCGCGUGAGUGAUGAAGGUCUUCGGAUCGUAAAACUCUGUUAUUAGGGAAGAACAAAUGUGUAAGUAACUAUGCACGUCUUGACGGUACCUGAUCAGAAAGCCACGGCUAACUACGUG
rnacentral:rRNA from 1 species